rnacentral:rRNA from 1 species
AUUGAACGCUGGCGGCAUGCUUUAUACAUGCAAGUCGAACGGUAACAGGCCGCAAGGUGCUGACGAGUGGCGAACGGGUGAGUAAUGCAUCGGAACGUGCCCAGUCGUGGGGGAUAACUACUCGAAAGAGUAGCUAAUACCGCAUACGAUCUAUGGAUGAAAGCGGGGGACCGUAAGGCCUCGCGCGAUUGGAGCGGCCGAUGUCAGAUUAGGUAGUUGGUGGGGUAAAGGCUCACCAAGCCAACGAUCUGUAGCUGGUCUGAGAGGACGACCAGCCACACUGGGACUGAGACACGGCCCAGACUCCUACGGGAGGCAGCAGUGGGGAAUUUUGGACAAUGGGCGCAAGCCUGAUCCAGCAAUGCCGCGUGCAGGAAGAAGGCCUUCGGGUUGUAAACUGCUUUUGUACGGAACGAAACGGCUCUGGUUAAUACCCGGGGCUAAUGACGGUACCGGAAGAAUAAGCACCGGCUAACUACGUG